rnacentral:rRNA from 1 species
CAAUAAGCGGAGGAAAAGAAACUAACAAGGAUUCCCCUAGUAACUGCGAGUGAAGCGGGAAAAGCUCAAAUUUAAAAUCUGGCAGUCUAUGAUUGUCCGAGUUGUAAUCUAGAGAAGUGAUGCCCGCGCUGGACCGUGUACAAGUCUCCUGGGAUGGAGCGUCAUAGAGGGUGAGAAUCCCGUCUCUGACACGGACUACCAGGGCUUUGUGGUACGCUCUCAAAGAGUCGAGUUGUUUGGGAAUGCAGCUCUAAAUGGGUGGUAAAUUCCAUCUAAAGCUAAAUAUUGGCGAGAGACCGAUAGCGAACAAGUACCGUGAGGGAAAGAUGAAAAGAACUUUGGAAAGAGAGUUAAACAGUACGUGAAAUUGCUGAAAGGGAAACGCUUGAAGUCAGUCGCGUUAGCUGGGAAUCAGCCUUGCUUUGGCUGGGUGUACUUUCUGGUUGACGGGUCAGCAUCAAUUUUGAUUGUUGGAAAAAGUCAUUGGGAAUGUGGCAGCUUCGGCUGUGUUAUAGCCCUUUGUCACAUACAACAGUUGGRAUUGAGGAACUCAGCACGCCGCAAGGCCGGGUUUCGACCACGUUCGUGCUUAGGAUGCUGGCAUAAUGGCUUUAAGCGACCCGUCUUGAAACACGGACCAAGGAGUCUAACAUGCCUGCGAGUGUUUGGGUGGUAAACCCGAGCGCGUAAUGAAAGUGAAAGUUGAGAUCCCUGUCGUGGGGAGCAUCGACGCCCGGACUUGAACUUUUGUGACGGAUCCGCGGUAGAGCAUGUAUGUUGGGACCCGAAAGAUGGUGAACUAUGCCUGAAUAGGGCGAAGCCAGAGGAAACUCUGGUGGAGGCUCGUAGCGAUUCUGACGUGCAAAUCGAUCGUCAAAUUUGGGUAUAGGGG